UAAUCGUUAUUCGCAAAUGGACGUUUUUCCUGUCUUUUUUUCCCCAUUUCUUGUAAAACAGAAGUUGGAAGAGCGACGCCAAUGGACUCGUUUAUUUAUAGUGCGCCACAAUGUCUCGACAUCGGAUUGUAAACAUCAGUGCGGGAAGAACACAGUCUUUAUCAUAUCCAACCGCAAUCUGUGAAACUCCAAAGGAUUAGCAAUAGCCGAUUCGAAGAACUGCAAUCGUCGACAACCGAGUCAAGCUUUGAUUUUGUAUCGAUCCGCUGAUUAACCGGAUAUUUCGAAACGUAAAAAAUUUUCCUCGAACGAUCCGCUAAAUUGAAACGAUUUCUAGUACUUUUGUACUUGUCCAAGGCAUUGGGAAACUACAGGGUUCCGGGAUAAUUCGACAAAUAAAAGAACCAACUAUUA